UACGUAGGGUGCGAGCGUUAAUCGGAAUUACUGGGCGUAAAGCGUGCGCAGGCGGUUCGACAAGUCUGAUGUGAAAGCCCCGGGCUCAACCUGGGAAUGGCAUUGGAAACUGGCGAGCUAGAGUGUGGCAGAGGGGGGUGGAAUUCCGCGUGUAGCAGUGAAAUGCGUAGAGAUGCGGAGGAACACCGAUGGCGAAGGCAGCCCCCUGGGCCAAUACUGACGCUCAGGCACGAAAGCGUGGGGAGCAAACAGG
rnacentral:rRNA from 1 species